UAGUCCACGCCGUAAACGAUGUCAACUAGCCGUUGGGGAUCUUGAAUCUUUAGUGGCGCAGCUAACGCAUUAAGUUGACCGCCUGGGGAGUACGCCGGCAACGGUAAAACUCAAAGGAAUUGACGGGGCCCGCACAAGCGGUGGAGCAUGUGGUUUAAUUCGAUGCAACGCGAAGAACCUUACCAGCCCUUGACAUGUAGCGAACAUUCUAGAGAUAGAUUGGUGCCUUCGGGAACGCUAACACAGGUGCUGCAUGGCUGUCGUCAGCUCGUGUCGUGAGAUGUUGGGUUAAGUCCCGCAACGAGCGCAACCCUUGUCCUUAGUUGCCAGCACGUAAUGGUGGGAACUCUAAGGAGACUGCCGGUGACAAACCGGGAGGAAGGGUGGGGACGACGUCAAGUCAUCAUGGGCCCUUA
rnacentral:rRNA from 1 species